UACGGGGGGGGCUAGCGUUGUUCGGAAUUACUGGGCGUAAAGGGCGCGUAGGCGGUCUGCUAAGUUGGAUGUGAAAACUCUGGGCUUAACCCAGAGCCUGCAUUCAAUACUGACAGGCUAGAGUUCUGGAGGGGAUAGCGGAAUUCCUGGUGUAGCGGUGAAAUGCUUAGAUAUCAGGAGGAACACCGGUGGCGAAGGCGGCUAUCUGGACAGAGUCUGACGCUGAGGCGCGAAAGCUAGGGGAGCAAACAGG
rnacentral:rRNA from 1 species